rnacentral:rRNA from 1 species
UACGUAGGGUGCAAGCGUUGUCCGGAAUUAUUGGGCGUAAAGAGCUCGUAGGCGGUCUGUCGCGUCUGCUGUGAAAACUCGGGGCUUAACCCCGGGCCUGCAGUGGGUACGGGCAGACUAGAGUGCGGUAGGGGAGAUCGGAAUUCCUGGUGUAGCGGUGAAAUGCGCAGAUAUCAGGAGGAACACCAAUGGCGAAGGCAGCUCGCUGGGACGGUACUGACGCUGAGGAGCGAAAGCAUGGGGAGCGAACAGG